UACAGAGGGUGCGAGCGUUGUUCGGAAUUAUUGGGCGUAAAGGGCGCGUAGGCGGUGCCACAAGUCACCUGUGAAAUCCCCGGGCUUAACUCGGGGCCUGCAGGCGAAACUGUGGUGCUGGAGUAUGGGAGAGGUGCGUGGAAUUCCCGGUGUAGCGGUGAAAUGCGCAGAUAUCAGGAGGAACACCGGUGGCGAAGGCGGGUCUCUGGGCAGUAACUGACGCUGAGGAGCGAAAGCGUGGGGAGCGAACAGG
rnacentral:rRNA from 1 species